rnacentral:rRNA from 1 species
GCUCGAGUGGCGAACGGGUGAGUAACACGUGAGUAACCUGCCCUUGACUUCGGGAUAACUUCAGGAAACUGGGGCUAAUACCGGAUAGGAGCUCCUGCUGCAUGGUGGGGGUUGGAAAGUUUCGGCGGUUGGGGAUGGACUCGCGGCUUAUCAGCUUGUUGGUGGGGUAGUGGCUUACCAAGGCUUUGACGGGUAGCCGGCCUGAGAGGGUGACCGGCCACAUUGGGACUGAGAUACGGCCCAG